rnacentral:rRNA from 1 species
UACGGAGGGUGCAAGCGUUAUCCGGAUUCACUGGGUUUAAAGGGUGCGUAGGCGGGCAGGUAAGUCAGUGGUGAAAUCUCCGAGCUUAACUCGGAAACUGCCGUUGAUACUAUUUGUCUUGAAUAUUGUGGAGGUAAGCGGAAUAUGUCAUGUAGCGGUGAAAUGCUUAGAUAUGUCACAGAACACCAAUUGCGAAGGCAGCUUACUAUGGUUUUAUUGACACUGAGGCACGAAAGCGUGGGGAUCAAACAGG